rnacentral:rRNA from 1 species
AACUUCAGGCUUGGUUGAUUGGUCCGCCUCACGGUGUGUACUGUUCGACCGAGCCUUACCUCUUGGUGAGCCAGCAUGCCGUUUAUUCGGUGUGUUGGGGAACCAGGAUUUUUACUUUGAAAAAAUUAGAGUGUUCAAAGCAGGCCUAUGCCCGAAUACAUUAGCAUGGAAUAAUAGAAUAGGACGUGCGGUUCUAUUUUGUUGGUUUCUAGGAUUGCCGUAAUGAUUAAUAGUGAUAGUUGGGGGCAUUAGUAUUCAGUUGCUAGAGGUGAAAUUCUUGGAUUUACUGAAGACUAACUACUGCGAAAGCAUUUGCCAAGGAUGUUUUCAUUAAUCAAGAACGAAGGUUAGGGGAUCGAAAACGAUCAGAUACCGUCGUAGUCUUAACUAUAAACUAUACCGACUCGGGAUCGGCUGGAAUAAAUGUCCAGUCGGCACCGUAUGAGAAAUCAAAGUCUUUGGGUUCUGGGGGAAGUAUGGUACGCAAGUCUGAAACUUAAAGG